UACGAAGGGGGCUAGCGUUGUUCGGAAUCACUGGGCGUAAAGGGCGCGUAGGCGGCGCGACAAGUCAGGCGUGAAAGCCCCGGGCUCAACCCGGGAAUUGCGCUUGAUACUGUCGUGCUUGAGGCCGGGAGAGGAUGGCGGAAUUCCCAGUGUAGAGGUGAAAUUCGUAGAUAUUGGGAAGAACACCGGUGGCGAAGGCGGCUCUCUGGACCGAUACUGACGCUGAGGCGCGAAAGCGUGGGGAGCAAACAGG
rnacentral:rRNA from 1 species